CAGCAGCCGCGGGAAUACGUAGGUCCCGAGCGUUGUCCGGAUUUAUUGGGCGUAAAGCGAGCGCAGGCGGUCAGAUAAGUCUGAAGUUAAAGGCUGUGGCUUAACCAUAGUACGCUUUGGAAACUGUUUAACUUGAGUGCAAGAGGGGAGAGUGGAAUUCCAUGUGUAGCGGUGAAAUGCGUAGAUAUAUGAAGGAACACCGGUGGCGGAAGCGGCUCUCUGGCUUGUAACUGACGCUGAGGCUCGAAAGCGUGGGGAGCAAACAGGAUUAGAGACCCCAGUAGUCCCUGUCUCUUAUACA
rnacentral:rRNA from 1 species